UUUUGUCUCUUCUUUCCUAAACUAAAUUAUUCAUUAAAAUAAAAGUGAGUGUACAAAUAAUUUAUUCACAAACCUUUUUUUUUUUUUUUUUUCNUAGGGAAUUUACUACUCUGUGUAUGUACACAUAUGUGAGUAUGUAUAUAUGUCUAUAUAUGGGCUGUGAUUAAUUUCUCACUUGUGCAGAAGGAUUCCUAGGCAGAUUGAGGAACAAGAGGCUGCCUGUGCACGAGCGGGUAGGGUAGGCUCGUGAUAACUUAUAUCUUUGCAGCUACAAGGACAUCUAAGCUCAAGCAAGGAGAAGUCAUUUCAGACGUCCCGCUGCCGGUUGCUGCCAGGCUCUGGCUCCCUGGAGAGACGACGCAGAGCAUCCCGAAUAGCAAGUGCCUGCAUACGGCCCUCCAUCCGCUCCGCAAUCACCGCAUCCCGCUUGUCCCAGAUGGCACAGGGGAAUAGCCGCUUCUUUUCUGACUCAACCGAGCCUACGCGAGCUACACAUUUCCCACUCCCCCGCUGCUGAAAAGCAAACAAUCCAUUAGGGCUUUGCUGACUGGAUCUGACAUUUCCCAGGUGCAGAUUAACACCCCCUCGAGGCCUGAACACCGUGAAAAUCAACUCAUCACUUGCGCAUCGCUUCCCAUCACCGCUCCCAGCAACGAGGAGCCCCAGCACCUGCCAGCCCAGUGCUCGGUGCCCGUUGGCAUGGUUUUCCAAAGGAACAGAGGAAGAAGACCAAUGGUGGUGUGAUGGGCCUUGGGCUCACCAUCCUAGCAUCGAGCUGGGAAAGGAGGAUGUCACACAAGGAUUCUGUCAGGUGCUGCUUUAAAUCCAACCCCGUGCCUAUUGCAUCUUGCAUCCAGGGACCAGCCUUGGCUGCUUGGGACAAGAAGAUAUAACAUGACUCACUG
rnacentral:lncRNA from 1 species